rnacentral:rRNA from 1 species
UACGGGGGGGGGCACGCGUUGUUCGGACUUACUGGGCGUAAAGGGCUCGUAGGCGGCCAACUAAGUCAGACGUGAAAUCCCUCGGCUUAACCGGGGAACUGCGUCUGAUACUGGAUGGCUUGAGUUUGGGAGAGGGAUGCGGAAUUCCAGGUGUAGCGGUGAAAUGCGUAGAUAUCUGGAGGAACACCGGUGGCGAAGGCGGCAUCCUGGACCAAUACUGACGCUGAGGAGCGAAAGCCAGGGGAGCAAACGGG